rnacentral:snoRNA from 1 species
UUGCAGUCAGUUAAGUGGACAGGGUUCCCUUGCUGGUGGGUGCCCAGGGUGCAGUGGCUGCGGACAGCAGCCACCUCGGCAGUGUACACAGCCCGUGGCUUUCAUAGCCUUCCCUCAGGGACCUUGGAGACACUG